AACCUUAUUAAAAAAAAGAUAAACAGUAGAAAGCAUGUCGAGUUUAUGAAUCCUCCUCAAUUUGUUUGUUUUGUUUUGCGGCAUGCUUGAGUGACCACAACGGAUAAGAACAUAGCAGUUGAGUUCAAGUUCAAAAUUAAUUUCAACGCAAGGCAAUGUUGUCCAACCUAAAAUCCACCGAACAGAAACAGCAACAAAAGCAAAAGGGGGAAUGGUUAUCAGGAAGUUUCAAGCCAGAGAAUUUCAUUCCAGGUCUUGUUAUUGGUUUCAUUUGUGGCUUGUUGAUUGAUUUAUCUAAGCCAACUAGAAAUCACUUGUCCAACAAAAUCUUCUCAUCCACCAAGCUUCAAAACCAACUCUCUGUCUCAAGUAAUGGUGCUGAUCAAGAACUUAAAAUGGUUCUGGUUGUUAGGCAAGACCUAAAGAUGAAAUCUGGAAAGAUUGCGUCUCAAUGUGCUCAUGCUGCCACCGGCAUGUAUGCUGAAUUAAUGCGAAGUAAUCGGUCUCUUUUAAGACAAUGGGAACAGUGCGGCCAGCCCAAAAUUGUUGUGACUUGCAAGAACCAACAAGAAAUGAAUAAGCUAACGGAAGCAGCUGAGAGUAUUGGGCUCCCUACUUUUGUUGUCUCUGAUGCAGGACGAACACAGGAACAUGCCCUAAUUAGGAAAGCUUCCAUCAAAUAGGCCAAGCAAUGAAGUGGGGUUAGCUAGCUGCUGUUAUUUACGUACCGUUGGUUAAUUUGCUGCAAAUAGAGGGGCAGCGAAAGAAAGGGCAAUUAGUUGGUCAGUUAGUUUUGGGUGGGCGAGAUCAAGCUGUUGAACUCACGGGAGAAGACACCAUUGUUCCAUUGAUCCAGAUUUUUAACAGGAUAUUCAAUAAAAUCUACUUAUUUUCUUUUUGAUAAUAUAUCUAUUCUCUGACCCAGUAUCUGUCAUCUUCAGGUUUCAGCAGGAUCAAAGACUGUUCUUGCUGUUGGACCUGGGCCAAAAGCAAUUCUGGAUUCGGUGACUGGAAGGUUGUCUCUGCUUUGACAGCAUUCAAGAAACAAGCCAUAACGUGAUAAAUCAGCCAGGCUUUGUUAACCUAUGGUCUGUGUUUGGGCUCGCUAUUCAGAUUGUAUUAAUUUUAGUAUCUGCUUAGUGCUUACUAGGGGUCGAUAGAGCACUCUAUUUUUGGAUCUGUUGUGUGAAACAUAUUGUUACUUAUACAAGGCAGCGCGAUUUGCCAGUGCAAGCAAAGUAUAAGCUCUUUUGAAAGUUUAAGUUUUGAGAUAAAUUGAUAAAAGAAUGAGACAAUAUUGCACAAUUAA